rnacentral:rRNA from 1 species
CCAGAGGAAGGCUCGUCCGCUCUGGGUUAGUCGGGUCCUAAGCUGAGGCCGACAGGCGUAGGCGAUGGAUAACAGGUUGAUAUUCCUGUACCACCUAUAAUCGUUUUAAUCGAUGGGGGGACGCAGUAGGAUAGGCGAAGCGUGCGAUUGGAUUGCACGUCUAAGCAGUAAGGCUGAGUAUUAGGCAAAUCCGGUACUCAUUAAGGCUGAGCUGUGAUGGGGAGAAGACAUUGUGUCUUCGAGUCGUUGAUUUCACACUGCCGAGAAAAGCCUCUAGAUAGAAAAUAGGUGCCCGUACCGCAAACCGACACAGGUAGUCAAGAUGAGAAUUCUAAGGUGAGCGAGCGAACUCUCGUUAAGGAACUCGGCAAAAUGACCCCGUAACUUCGGGAGAAGGGGUGCUCUUUAGGGUUAACGCCCAGAAGAGCCGCAGUGAAUAGGCCCAAGCGACUGUUUAUCAAAAACACAGGUCUCUGCUAAACCGUAAGGUGAUGUAUAGGGGCUGACGCCUGCCCGGUGCUGGAAGGUUAAGAGGAGUGGUUAGCUUCUGCGAAGCUACGAAUCGAAGCCCCAGUAAACGGCGGCCGUAACUAUAACGGUCCUAAGGUAGCGAAAUUCCUUGUCGGGUAAGUUCCGACCCGCACGAAAGGCGUAACGAUUUGGGCACUGUCUCAACGAGAGACUCGGUGAAAUCAUAGUACCUGUGAAGAUGCAGGUUACCCGCGACAGGACGGAAAGACCCCGUGGAGCUUUACUGUAGCCUGAUAUUGAAAUUCGGCACAGCUUGUACAGGAUAGGUAGGAGCCUUUGAAACGUGAGCGCUAGCUUACGUGGAGGCGCUGGUGGGAUACUACCCUAGCUGUGUUGGCUUUCUAACCCGCACCACUUAUCGUGGUGGGAGACAGUGUCAGGCGGGCAGUUUGACUGGGGCGGUCGCCUCCUAAAAGGUAACGGAGGCGCUCAAAGGUUCCCUCAGAAUGGUUGGAAAUCAUUCAUAGAGUGUAAAGGCAUAAGGGAGCUUGACUGCGAGACCUACAAGUCGAGCAGGGUCGAAAGACGGACUUAGUGAUCCGGUGGUUCCGCAUGGAAGGGCCAUCGCUCAACGGAUAAAAGCUACCCCGGGGAUAACAGGCUUAUCUCCCCCAAGAGUUCACAUCGACGGGGAGGUUUGGCACCUCGAUGUCGGCUCAUCGCAUCCUGGGGCUGUAGUCGGUCCCAAGGGUUGGGCUGUUCGCCCAUUAAAGCGGUACGCGAGCUGGGUUCAGAACGUCGUGAGACAGUUCGGUCCCUAUCCGUCGUGGGCGUAGGAAAUUUGAGAGGAGCUGUCCUUAGUACGAGAGGACCGGGAUGGACAUACCUCUGGUGUACCAGUUGUCGUGCCAACGGCAUAGCUGGGUAGCUAUGUGUGGACGGGAUAAGUGCUGAAAGCAUCUAAGCAUGAAGCCCCCCUCAAGAUGAGAUUUCCCAACUUCGGUUAUAAGAUCCCUCAAAGAUGAUGAGGUUAAUAGGUUCGAGGUGGAAGCAUGGUGACAUGUGGAGCUGACGAAUACUAAUCGAUCGAAGACUUAAUCAA